CGAUGGAUUAUAAAAUUCAUAGGUUUGGGGAGAGGUUUUCGUGCUGCCGAAGAAAUUCACUGGUAUGGCUCUGGGAGUCACAAUUGCCAUCAUCACCUCAUUGUCCCUGUCGAGAGCUUCAUCAAAUGGAUUGAAGGUCAGAGGGAGCAUGCUGUCUGGAUCGUCAUAAGCCAGCCAUGGUCGUUCAUCUCUGGCCAGACCCUCAUACAGAGUCUCGAAGAAUCGACCGAUCUGAUCCGGAUUGUUCCCUGAACCGGGUAAGACUAUAACGGCUUCGCCAAAGUUCAAGGGGGCACGCGUUGCCGAUUCC
rnacentral:lncRNA from 1 species